UUGGGACUGAGACACGGCCCAGACUCCUACGGGAGGCAGCAGUGGGGAAUAUUGCACAAUGGGGGAAACCCUGAUGCAGCGACGCCGCGUGGAGGAAGAAGGUCUUCGGAUUGUAAACUCCUGUUGUUGAGGAAGAUAAUGACGGUACUCAACAAGGAAGUGACGGCUAACUACGUGCCAGCAGCCGCGGUAAAACGUAGGUCACAAGCGUUGUCCGGAAUUACUGGGUGUAAAGGGAGCGCAGGCGGGAAGACAAGUUGGAAGUGAAAUCUAUGGGCUCAACCCAUAAACUGCUUUCAAAACUGUUUUUCUUGAGUAGUGCAGAGGUAGGCGGAAUUCCCGGUGUAGCGGUGGAAUGCGUAGAUAUCGGGAGGAACACCAGUGGCGAAGGCGGCCUACUGGGCACCAACUGACGCUGAGGCUCGAAAGUGUGGGUAGCAAACAGGAUUAGAUACCCUGGUAGUCCACACCGUAAACGAUGAUUACUAGGUGUUGGAGGAUUGACCCCUUCAGUGCCGCAGUUAACACAAUAAGUAAUCCACCUGGGGAGUACGACCGCAAGGUUGAAACUCAAAGGAAUUGACGGGGGCCCGCACAAGCAGUGGAGUAUGUGGUUUAAUUCGACGCAACGCGAAGAACCUUACCAAGUCUUGACAUCCCUUGACAGGCAUAGAAAUAUGUUUUCUCUUCGGAGCAAGGAGACAGGUGGUGCAUGGUUGUCGUCAGCUCGUGUCGUGAGAUGUUGGGUUAAGUCCCGCAACGAGCGCAACCCUUAUGGUCAGUUACUACGCAAGAGGACUCUGGCCAGACUGCCGUUGACAAAACGGAGGAAGGUGGGGAUGACGUCAAAUCAUCAUGCCCUUUAUGACUUGGGCUACACACGUACUACAAUGGCGUUAAACAAAGAGAAGCAAGACCGCGAGGUGGAGCAAAACUCAGAAACAACGUCCCAGUUCGGACUGCAGGCUGCAACUCGCCUGCACGAAGUCGGAAUUGCUAGUAAUCGUGGAUCAGCAUGCCACGGUGAAUACGUUCCCGGGCCUUGUACACACCGCCCGUCACACCAUGAGAGCCGGGGGGACCCGAAGUCGGUAGUCUAACCGCAAGGAGGACGCCGCCGAAGGUAAAACUGGUGAUUGGGGUGAAGUCGUAACAAGGUAGCCGUAGGAGAACCUGCGGCUG
rnacentral:rRNA from 1 species